rnacentral:misc_RNA from 1 species
GAUGAAGAACGUAGCGAAAUGCGAUAAGUAGUGUGAAUUGCAGAAUUCAGUGAAUCAUCGAAUCUUUGAACGCACAUUGCGCCCCUUGGUAUUCCAUGGGGCAUGCCUGUUCGAGCGUCAUUUGUACCUUCAAGCUUUGCUUGGUGUUGGGUGUUUGUCUCGCCUUUGCGUGUAGACUCGCCUUAAAAUAAUUGGCAGCCGGCGUAUUGAUUUCGGAGCGCAGUACAUCUCGCGCUUUGCACUCAUAACGACAGCGUCCAAAAGUACAUUUUACACUCUUGACCUCGGAUCAGGUAGGGAUACCAGCUGAACUUAAGCAUAUCAAUAAGCGGAGGA